rnacentral:rRNA from 1 species
GAAGCAGCCAGCUUGCUGGAAGCGGAAAAGGGAAAGGCUUAGUGGCGGACGGGUGAGUAACGCGUGGGUAACCUGGCCCAUACAGGGGGAUAACACUUAGAAAUAGGUGCUAAUACCGCAUAACAACAGAAAGCGCAUGCUUUUUGUUUGAAAACCAAGGUGGUAUGGGAUGGACCCGCGUCUGAUUAGCUGGUUGGCGGGGUAAAGGCCCACCAAGGCGACGAUCAGUAGCCGGCCUGAGAGGGUGGACGGCCACAUUGGGACUGAGACACGGCCCAAACUCCUACGGGAGGCAGCAGUGGGGAAUAUUGCACAAUGGGGGAAACCCUGAUGCAGCGACGCCGCGUGAGUGAAGAAGUAAUUCGUUAUGUAAAGCUCUAUCAGCAGGGAAGAAAAUGACGGUACCUGAGUAAGAAGCCCCGGCUAACUACGUGCCAGCAGCCGCGGUAAUACGUAGGGGGCAAGCGUUAUCCGGAUUUACUGGGUGUAAAGGGAGCGUAGACGGCAGUGCAAGUCUGGAGUGAAAGGCGGGGGCUCAACCCCCGGACUGCUCUGGAAACUGUACGGCUGGAGUGCAGGAGAGGUAAGUGGAAUUCCUAGUGUAGCGGUGAAAUGCGUAGAUAUUAGGAGGAACACCAGUGGCGAAGGCGGCUUACUGGACUGUAACUGACGUUGAGGCUCGAAAGCGUGGGGAGCAAACAGGAUUAGAUACCCUGGUAGUCCACGCCGUAAACGAUGAUCACUAGGUGUCGGGGGUUAAAGAACCUUCGGUGCC